rnacentral:rRNA from 1 species
UACGAAGGGGGCAAGCGUUGUUCGGAGUUACUGGGCGUAAAGGGCGCGUAGGCGGUUUUUCAAGUCAGGUGUGAAAGCCCUGGGCUCAACCCGGGAAAUGCACUUGGGACUGAAAGACUUGAGAUCGAGAGAGGAUGAUGGAAUUCCCAGUGUAGAGGUGAAAUUCGUAGAGAUUGGGAAGAACACCGGUGGCGAAGGCGGUCAUCUGGCUCGUAUCUGACGCUGAGGCGCGAAAGCGUGGGGAGCAAACAGG